GGGCCCAGCGCUGGAGCAUGCGCGGUCGGCGGGUGCCCUUGCGGUUUGGCCUGCCGGCGGGCGGCGGCCGCCGUGGCUUCUGCGGGAGUCUGGAUCCCAGGCGGAGGAAGCGCCCAGUGUCCCUUUGCCCCUUGUUCGUGUGGACCGAGACGGUAUCAGUUCGCGGAGCUCGUCGUUGGCGUGAGAGGAAACAGGCGCAGAGGGCAGUUGGGCGUGGGUUUCCUACCCUAGCCCAGUGCAUUUGGCCGACUGUGGGAAGAACAGUCAACAAAAAACAAAGCAAGUUCUCCAGUGAUGCCUUAGGCCUCCCAGGGGAAGAGGCAGUGCAACUAGGACGCCCAAGUUGGAAGACCCUACGGAGGAGACGAUGGUGAAGGAGGAGCUGUGCGGAGAACGAAGAUAGAGCUACUGUGCACGAGAGGUCUUUGGUUUUACAGUCAGUUUAGAGGCUGAUACCUCAGAUGUUAACAAGAGGUUUCGCGUGGUUGAAAACCAAAGUGAAGCCGGGUCGUGGUCGGGCACACUUUUCAUCCCGGCACUCAGGACGCGGAGGUUGAGGCCAGCCUGGUCUACAUUGGGAGUUCCAGGACAGCCAGGGCUACACAGAGAAACCCUAUUCGAAAAGAAGGAAGGAAGGAAAAAAGGAAGAACCAAAAUCAGCAUUCUAGUUUCAACCCUGUCAUCAGCUAACUGGAUGAUCUGGGCAAAGCUACGCGUGCUGGUGGCUGGAGAGAUGGCUCAGAGGUUGAGAGCACGGGCUGCUCUUCCAGAGUGAGCCAGGUUCAAUUCCCAGCGCCGUGGCAGCUUACAACUGUAACUUCAGUUCCAGGGGAUACGACACGCUCACACCGAUGCACAUAAAAUAAAUAAACAUUUAAAAACCAGCUACUCUUUCCGGGGCUGGGUGGUUCUCUUACUGCUUAGUGUGGGGGGGUGGGGGGACGCAAACCUAAGUGUUCGCUGAGGACAGUAGCGGUGUGAAGGCGCAAAGUGGACCCAUUAGUCCUGUCCUUUCCCCCUCAAGUGUGACAGUGAACAAGAAAAAGCAGUUUCAUUCUAGGACAGCUAGGGCUUCACAGAAAAACCCUGUCUCGGGAAAAAACAAACAAACAAAAAAGCAAACAACAAAACCACUUUCUGACAGUACAACUGGAGUAAAUACUUUCUUGAAAACUAUGAGAUAAAAUAACAAGCCCCACAUUUUGUAAUACGUUCUCCAGAGCCUGUGAGAAACCAAGAUACCAGUGCCCGUGCUACUAUCUUUCUUUCUUUCUUGUUUUGAAAUCUCUUACUACAUAUUCAUAAAGCCCAUGGUUUGUUCUUAAUGGUCUUGGUUACAGGGUCUUGCCUGAAGUGAAGGCUCCGCAGAGAUCUGGCCGAGGCCCGCCCUCCCUCCGAUGGGGAGCCUCCGUUCCAGUCAUGGUGGACACAGCUGAAACCUUUUGAGUUUUUCUUUGAGGCACCACUGAGCCAUCUCUCCUGCCCCUUAUUUCAUUUUGUCUUUUCUCAAACACAUCUCUCCAUCACGCAAGGGUUGGUUGGUUUCUUCUCCUUGAAGAAGGAAGAUGGUUCUAGGCUCCGGGGGUGACAACCUCAUCAUUUCUGAGGUAUCUCUCUCUCGCUCUGUCCUGCUGCCCUGCAUUCUCCCGUCCUCUUUUUGAAAGCUUUCAAAAUAAACUAAUGAAAAAAAUA